AUACUUGCUUCAAGGGCAUAUAUAUUAAAAUUGGAAUAAUACAGAGAGGAGUAGCAUGGCCCCUGUGGAAGGAACCCCUCCCUCCACACAGUUUU
rnacentral:snRNA from 1 species